CUCCGCCACCGCCGCGGACGCAAGAACCUGGCGCCAGCCAACCGUGUCGCCAUGGCAACUCCACCACCGCCUACACCGGAACCGGAAUUCGUCCGGAAGGGCUCCCUUCCCGGCGUCCCGCGGCCGGCGAAACCCCGCCCCGCGCCUUUCCCGGUCCUCCCGGAGUAUCCCAGCAGGCCCGUCCAUCCGCCGGAGGGAAGUCGUCCUCCCCCUCGUUUCGCCUCUCCUUGCCUCGGAGCGUGACCCUGGCGGACACCCACUCUCUCCAAUCAACUGAGGAAGUGGUUGCCGACGGCCAAUAGCAUUAAAGACUAUUCCAACUGGCCCACCAUCCCGCAAGUGUACCUCAAUGGCGAGUUUGUGGGGGGCUGUGACAUUCUUCUGCAGAUGCACCAGAACGGGGACCUGGUGGAAGAACUGAAAAAGCUGGGGAUCCGCUCCGCCCUUUUAGAUGAAAAGAAAGACCAAGACGCAAAGUGAGGGCGGCCCGGGUCCUCCCUGAGCCGAAUGCCCAGGAGCCCUUGGGGCAGAGACUCACUGCCAGAAAAGCCUUACCGAUUUUGGUUUUCUCUCUUCACACAACUGCUUGCACUGAUUCUCCCAGUACGUAAGCAGUCGGUGAUUUUAGUGUGUCUGGUGUUUGGGCUAAGAAUAUUCUAUUGUGAACCUAAUUAUAACCACUGCACUGUAGUAAUUCAAUGUUGUAUUAUGAUCUUGCUGUAAACAAAAUUUGUUCUUAUAUUGUCAUUUACUCUUUGCCUGAUUCGGGAGUACAACUGGGAGCUUUUGAAUCAUUAUUCAUGAGUCUUCUGCAAAUGUGUCGGUCUGCAAAGAUAAUAUAUCCCCCCAAAUUUUUGUAACUUGUUCUGUUAAGAAAAAUGAUGGACAAGGAAGGAAAUAUGAUAACUGGGGUAUUGUUUUUUAAAAUAAACUGCCUACCCAGGGAUGCUGUGUGUGAGU